CAGAACAGCCUGACACGGCAGCCCACAAAUGCCCGCUUCGACUACAAUUAGGAGGCCUAACCAGACAGGAAUGGAAAUUGUUGAGUGUUUCGAUAUUUAUCCUACUUUUGGGGGGGGGUUUAAAACCAUUUUUGUCACCUUGUUUCAAGUUCGAUGCCCGCUCUCGUCAUAUUUAAGGAUAAAACCCGGGUGACAUCCAGAGCAAAUUCAGUGAAGCGCAGAAUCUGUCCCUCUGCACUUCAACCACCUGCGCCACAACGUAGACCCACUCUUAGCUGUUCCAAGGCAGACAAGGAAUGUUGCAAACUGACCUUGAUGCCGCCCAUGCGUUGCUCCCCCUUGAACUCUUUGCCGUUUUUGAGCCAGUGAAUGGUGGGUGUGGGGUUGCCCGACGCCGCGCAGCGGAACUUGACUGUGUUGGCCGCUGGCACCGCCAGCAGCUUCUUGUCCAUCCGGUCUGGCCUGGUCCAGUAUGGAGCUUCUGCGCGCAAAAUCACAGCACAAACGUUUGUACUAUGACAAUAUUAAGGUUUUAAAGUUUGAGGGAUGUGUUUAUGAAAAUGUACAUCACAAAAAGUGGGCUUUCAACAGGGGUGUGUGGACUUUUUGUAUCCACUGCUCAUAGAAGAAAAAUAAAGGAAAAUGCCUCAA